rnacentral:rRNA from 1 species
AGUCGACGCUUCUUUUUCCCCGGAGCUUGCUCCACCGGAAAAAGAGGAGUGGCGAACGGGUGAGUAACACGUGGGUAACCUGCCCAUCAGAAGGGGAUAACACUUGGAAACAGGUGCUAAUACCGUAUAACAAUCGAAACCGCAUGGUUUUGAUUUGAAAGGCGCUUUCGGGUGUCGCUGAUGGAUGGACCCGCGGUGCAUUAGCUAGUUGGUGAGGUAACGGCUCACCAAGGCGACGAUGCAUAGCCGACCUGAGAGGGUGAUCGGCCACAUUGGGACUGAGACACGGCCCAAACUCCUACGGGAGGCAGCAGUAGGGAAUCUUCGGCAAUGGACGAAAGUCUGACCGAGCAACGCCGCGUGAGUGAAGAAGGUUUUCGGAUCGUAAAACUCUGUUGUUAGAGAAGAACAAGGAUGAGAGUAACUGUUCAUCCCUUGACGGUAUCUAACCAGAAAGCCACGGCUAACUACGUGCCAGCAGCCGCGGUAAUACGUAGGUGGCAAGCGUUGUCCGGAUUUAUUGGGCGUAAAGCGAGCGCAGGCGGUUUCUUAAGUCUGAUGUGAAAGCCCCCGGCUCAACCGGGGAGGGUCAUUGGAAACUGGGAGACUUGAGUGCAGAAGAGGAGAGUGGAAUUCCAUGUGUAGCGGUGAAAUGCGUAGAUAUAUGGAGGAACACCAGUGGCGAAAGCGGCUCUCUGGUCUGUAACUGA